CAUACAUAAUCCGAUCCUACGUGGAUGGUAAUUUGUUAAUUAAGUUUCAUUCCUAUACAAAAUGGAAAAUAAGUUUUAAAACAAACACACUUCCGUUAAUCGUUCUAUAAUAUCUCUAUUACAUAAAGGAACAGCUGAGGGCAUAAGAGUAAAUUAACUUUUCGUGUCCCCCAGUGAAUUGACGAAAUUACCCCUAAUUAAACCCAGCCCCCAGCCUCACUCUCACAUGCGCAUAGCUCUCUUUCUCUCUCCUAGGUCUUCGGCGUCCCUGACCCUUCCUGCUCCCUCCCGUUUUCUCUCUCCUUCCUCUUCAUCUUCUUUGAUCUUCUUCCUCUAAUCCUCUUCCACCAAACCCCAUCCCAUUCUAAACCCUAAAUAUUUCGUCUCUCUUUCACUGCACACACACGCUCUUUCUCCUCCGCCUCUCGCCGUCGCCAUCACCGCCUGAUCUUCUAGAGAUUAGGGUGAGAUUUUAACAACUUUGUAUAGAUUUUCAUUUUUUUCCAAUUGAUUCUGGAGAUUUUGUUUAUUUGAUGUGUUUUUUUUUUCCGAUUUUUAUUGUUUUUUCCAAUUGUUUAGAGAGAUAUUUUUAUUCUGGAGCCCUAGCCAUUCCGAUUUUAAAAAAUAUUGUGGGAUUGAAUAGAGAGAUUUAGAGAUUUUUGUUUUUCUAAAAAGUACAUUUUUCGGGUUUAAUUUGAUCGGGAAAGUUUAGAAAUUUAUUGUAAUGUCGACGAAAAUGGGUACGGCGAAGGAUUUAGCGGAGAAAAUGAGGUUGAUGGGUGCACCGGGUGGACAUUAUUGAGCCAAAAAAUCGAAUGUUUGUCAAAGAUUGUUGUUGCCAGCAUUUUAUCGGCUCAUCCUCAUACUUUGGGCACUACAUGUCAAUAAUGAGAAGGCAAAGAUGUUGCUGUUGGCAGCAAGAAGAAUUGUAACAAUGACGGGUUUCUGGGUGCUUCUUGCUCAACUGUUCCAAACUUCAGUAACCGAGAAACUAUGGUGGAGACGCUUCAAGGAGAAGAAUCAACAAUCCGGGAAAAAAACAUCUAUGUGAGAAGAAAUUAAAAAAAUAUGAUGCAAAUUUUGAAAUUAUGUACUGAAUUUGAGUAAAUUGUGUGUCCAUUUCCUAUUUUAAGGAACAUUACCAUGAAUUAUGUAAUU